rnacentral:rRNA from 1 species
GACGUAGGGCGCGAGCGUUGUCCGGAAUUAUUGGGCGUAAAGAGCUCGUAGGCGGUUUGUCGCGUCUGCUGUGAAAACUCGGGGCUCAACUCCGAGCUUGCAGUCGAUACGGGCAGGCUAGAGUUCGGCAGGGGAGACUGGAAUUCCUGGUGUAGCGGUGAAAUGCGCAGAUAUCAGGAGGAACACCGGUGGCGAAGGCGGGUCUCUGGGCCGCAUACUGACACUGG